GACGAACGCUGGCGGCGUGCUUAACACAUGCAAGUCGAACGGAAAGGCCCUGCUUGCCGGGUACUCGAGUGGCGAACGGGUGAGUAACACGUGGGUGAUCUGCCCUGCACUUCGGGAUAAGCUUGGGAAACUGGGUCUAAUACCGGAUAGGAACCAUCUUUAGUGUGGUGGUUGGAAAGUUUUUUCGGUGUAGGAUGAGCUCGCGGCCUAUCAGCUUGUUGGUGGGGUAAUGGCCUACCAAGGCGGCGACGGGUAGCCGGCCUGAGAGGGUGUACGGCCACAUUGGGACGGAGAUACGGCCCAGACUCCUACGGGAGGCAGCAGUGGGGAAUAUUGCACAAUGGGCGCAAGCCUGAUGCAGCGACGCCGCGUGGGGGAUGAAGGCCUUCGGGUUGUAAACUCCUUUCGCUAGGGACGAAGCUUUGUUGUGACGGUACCUAGAGAAGAAGCACCGGCUAACUACGUG
rnacentral:rRNA from 1 species